rnacentral:rRNA from 1 species
AACGCUGGCGGCGUGCUUAACACGUGCAAGUCGAACGGAAAGGCCCUGCUUUUGUGGGGUGCUCGAGUGGCGAACGGGUGAGUAACACGUGAGUAACCUGCCCUUGACUUUGGGAUAACUUCAGGAAACUGGGGCUAAUACCGGAUAGGAGCUCCUGCUGCAUGGUGGGGGUUGGAAAGUUUCGGCGGUUGGGGAUGGACUCGCGGCUUAUCAGCUUGUUGGUGGGGUAGUGGCUUACCAAGGCUUUGACGGGUAGCCGGCCUGAGAGGGUGACCGGCCACAUUGGGACUGAGAUACGGCCCAGACUCCUACGGGAGGCAGCAGUGGGGAAUAUUGCACAAUGGGCGGAAGCCUGAUGCAGCAACGCCGCGUGCGGGAUGACGGCCUUCGGGUUGUAAACCGCUUUCGCCUGUGACGAAGCGUGAGUGACGGUAAUGGGUAAAGAAGCACCGGCUAACUACGUGCCAGCAGCCGCGGUGAUACGUAGGGUGCGAGCGUUGUCCGGAUUUAUUGGGCGUAAAGGGCUCGUAGGUGGUUGAUCGCGUCGGAAGUGUAAUCUUGGGGCUUAACCCUGAGCGUGCUUUCGAUACGGGUUGACUUGAGGAAGGUAGGGGAGAAUGGAAUUCCUGGUGGAGCGGUGGAAUGCGCAGAUAUCAGGAGGAACACCAGUGGCGAAGGCGGUUCUCUGGGCCUUUCCUGACGCUGAGGAGCGAAAGCGUGGGGAGCGAACAGGCUUAGAUACCCUGGUAGUCCACGCUGUAAACGGUGGGUACUAGGUGUGGGGUCCAUUCCACGGGUUCCGUGCCGUAGCUAACGCUUUAAGUACCCCGCCUGGGGAGUACGGCCGCAAGGCUAAAACUCAAAGGAAUUGACGGGGCCCCGCACAAGCGGCGGAGCAUGCGGAUUAAUUCGAUGCAACGCGUAGAACCUUACCUGGGUUUGACAUGGAUCGGGAGUGCUCAGAGAUGGGUGUGCCUCUUUUGGGGUCGGUUCACAGGUGGUGCAUGGCUGUCGUCAGCUCGUGUCGUGAGAUGUUGGGUUAAGUCCCGCAACGAGCGCAACCCUUGUUCACUGUUGCCAGCACGUUAUGGUGGGGACUCAGUGGAGACCGCCGGGGUCAACUCGGAGGAAGGUGGGGAUGACGUCAAGUCAUCAUGCCCCUUAUGUCCAGGGCUUCACGCAUGCUACAAUGGCUGGUACAGAGAGUGGCGAGCCUGUGAGGGUGAGCGAAUCUCGGAAAGCCGGUCUCAGUUCGGAUUGGGGUCUGCAACUCGACCUCAUGAAGUCGGAGUCGCUAGUAAUCGCAGAUCAGCAACGCUGCGGUGAAUACGUUCCCGGGGCUUGUACACACCGCCCGUCAAGUCAUGAAAGUUGGUAACACCCGAAGCCGGUGGCCUAACCGUUGUGGGGGAGCCGUCGAAGGUGGGACUGGUGAUUAGG